AUUACUGAGUGAGGGCCCUCUGGGUCCAACCUCCCACCCGUGUUUAUUGUACCUUGUUGCUUCGGUGCGCCCGCCUCACGGCCGCCGGGGGGCUUCUGCCCCCGGGCCCGCGCCCACCGAAGACACCAUUGAACUCUGUCUGAAGAUUGCAGUCUGAGCAUAAACUAAAUAAGUUAAAACUUUCAACAACGGAUCUCUUGGUUCCGGCAUCGAUGAAGAACGCAGCGAAAUGCGAUAACUAAUGUGAAUUGCAGAAUUCAGUGAAUCAUCGAGUCUUUGAACGCACAUUGCGCCCCCUGGUAUUCCGGGGGGCAUGCCUGUCCGAGCGUCAUUGCUGCCCUCAAGCACGGCUUGUGUGUUGGGCUCCGUCCCCCCGGGGACGGGCCCGAAAGGCAGCGGCGGCACCGAGUCCGGUCCUCGAGCGUAUGGGGCUUUGUCACCCGCUCUGUAGGCCCGGCCGGCGCCAGCCGACAACCCAUCAUCCUUUUCAGGUUGACCUCGGAUCAG
rnacentral:rRNA from 1 species